rnacentral:rRNA from 1 species
UUAGUGGCGAAAGGGUGAGGAAUAGAUAGGUAACGUACCGUAAACUUCAGGAUAGCGUCUAUUCGCCGCAAGGCGGAUUUCCGAAAGGGGCAUUAACACUGAAUGAUAUCACUUGCUUAACUGCUUGUGAUCAAAGAUUUAUCGGUUUUCGAGCGGCCUAUCUCCUAUCAGCUAGUUGGUGAGGUAACGGCCCACCAAGGCGACGACGGGUAGCGGGACUGAGAGGUUGACCCGCCACAUCGGGACUGAGACACUGCCCGGACCUCCACGGAGGGCUGCAGUAACGAAUAUUGGGCAAUGGGCGAAAGCCUGACCCAGCGAUGCCGCGUGUAGGAUGAAGUCCCUCGGGAUGUAAACUACUUUCAGGGGUUAGAAAAUUUCGAUUGAUCAGCCCCAGAAGAAGUCACGGCUAACUUCGUGCCAGCAGCCGCGGUAAUACGAAGGUGGCAAGCGUUAUUCGAAAUCACUUGGGCUUAAGGGCGCGUAGGCGGACAUGAAAGUGUUUUGUGAAAUCCCCCGGCUUAACCGGGGAAUUGCUUGGCAAACUACAUGUCUUGAGGCAAGCAGGGGUGUGUGGAACUCUUGGUGGAGCGGUGGAAUGCGUAGAUAUCAAGAGGAACGCCGAAGGUGAAGACAGCACACUGGACUUGUACUGACGCUGAGGCGCGAAAGCGUGGGGAGCAAACAGGAUUAGAUACCCUGGUAGUCCACGCCGUAAACCAUGUCUACUAGGUUGUGGGGGUUCUGACACUCUCACAGUCGCAGCAAAAGUGUUAAGUAGACCGCCUGGGGAGUACGGUCGCAAGGCUAAAACUCAAAGGAAUUGACGGGGGCUCACACAAGCGGUGGAGCAUGUGGAUUAAUUCGAAGCAACGCGCAGAACCUUACCUGGGCUUGACAUGCUUGGAUGCCUUUCCGGAAACGGAGUAGGUUGCCCGCAAGGGUGAAACGAGUGCAGGUGCUGCAUGGCUGUCGUCAGCUCGUGUCGUGAGAUGUCGGGUUAAGUCCUUUAACGAGCGAAACCCUUACCAUUAGUUGCCAGCGCGUCAUGGCGGGGACUCUAAUGGGACUGCCG